GUUAAAAUAUUGGUUACCGUACGAUCACCAAAGUUAAGCAAUGUCCAGCCUGAUCAGUACCUAGAUGGGUGACCGCUUGGGAAUAGCAGGUGUUGUUA